GACGAACGCUGGCGGCGUGCCUAAUACAUGCAAGUAGAACGCUGAAGGAGGAGCUUGCUUCUCUGGAUGAGUUGCGAACGGGUGAGUAACGCGUAGGUAACCUGCCUGGUAGCGGGGGAUAACUAUUGGAAACGAUAGCUAAUACCGCAUAACAGUAGAUAUCGCAUGAUAUCUACUUGAAAGGUGCAAUUGCAUCACUACCAGAUGGACCUGCGUUGUAUUAGCUAGUUGGUGAGGUAACGGCUCACCAAGGCGACGAUACAUAGCCGACCUGAGAGGGUGAUCGGCCACACUGGGACUGAGACACGGCCCAGACUCCUACGGGAGGCAGCAGUAGGGAAUCUUCGGCAAUGGACGGAAGUCUGACCGAGCAACGCCGCGUGAGUGAAGAAGGUUUUCGGAUCGUAAAGCUCUGUUGUAAGAGAAGAACGAGUGCGAGAGUGGAAAGUUCACACUGUGACGGUAUCUUACCAGAAAGGGACGGCUAACUACGUG
rnacentral:rRNA from 1 species